AAAUGGUGGAAAUACAAAAUCAACUUUUCUCAUGUGGUUCAAUUUGAAUUAGCGCAACACACUUACACAUGUUCAAUGUACCAUAAAUGACACAUGACUAACAACUUGGCAAGUGGUUGCAUGUAUCGGUAUCAGUGAGCGAUUUGAAACCGAUCGAGCACCUUGUUGGUCGGUCGGUCAGUUUGACGACAACAACAAAAAAUCUUCAUUUUUUCAUCAUGUGCAAGUAUAUUUCGCAAAUAUUUCGCCAAAUAUUAUAAAAUCUUGUCUUUUGAUGCCAACGUGCAGAAUUCCGGUGAAUCGGAAACAUCAUUCCACGCAUCAUACGGUCCGCAGAAUGUGGUGUCUUCAAGUUCUAUAGAGCCGGCGCAGGAUGAGACCGAUUGGAACCAGUAAAAGUAUGCAUUGGACGGAACGCAGUUGGAGCUUCGGAUGACGUGGACGUUGAUGCUCGGACGUUGUAUUCCGAGAAGUAUGGUCCGAGCAGCAUGGACGCCAAGAAAAGAUCUGGAAUGCGAUCCGUAUAGUUGGAGCGGGCGAGAAGAAUUUCGAUGACUGUUCGGAAUGUUUUGCAACACUAACGCAACCGGAUACAUUUCCUGAUCUGAGCAGAACUAUGUUUGAACGAGAACUUGAUUACUCCCAAGAGCAAAAACACAGAUUCUCCCACUAGAGUGCAUCCAGGAACCUAUAGGAAGUGCUAAAAAAAACGAAGCGGUCCGCUCAUUGAAGUGCAGCCCAUUUCCAACCGAGUUCCCGGUGACACCUGGUCAUGAUCGGCACAGCCAGAAAAUCGGUCACUGUGUCCUGCAGCUGCUCGUCCGUAUCAACACAUCCGAGACGUGACAGAACAGCAGAACGUGUUUUGUUCGAUGGUGUCGAAUUCAUAUUCACUUAAUUUUUAUUUAUAAAGAUCAGUACACAUAUUUUUAUGAAAUUCCAUUUUAUUUAAUCAUUCCCGUGUCAAUUUACUAUUUUGAAAUGACACGCAUUCAAACAAUUUUCAAAACGAUUAAAAUAAUUACGAUCUUUUUGAUAUGGAAAUUGUUAGUUUGCUGAAGUAAUUAUUCAGAAUAGUAAAUUGUUUGAAUUUGGUAUUUUACUAUUUUGAAAAAAUAAAUUUAAACAAUACACCAUGUUGUUUGCAGUAAGAUAUAUCACAAUAAAUGAACAAUUUCAUCCAAUGUUAUAAUUUUCUUCAAAAUUUAUAGUUCAAUUAUUUCGUCACAAUUUCAUUUACUGUUUUCGUUGCAAAAAAUGAAUUAUAUGUGUACCAUUUGGCUUAUUAUUUUGCGAAAUUUUUGUUCGAGAAAAAUGUCGAUUUUUUAUUGUAACCUAACUUAACAGCCUAUUCGUCAUAUUGUUAGAUGGCCUAUUACAAUUCGCCAUGUGGUAUACUACAAUAAGCUUACAUUAUCACUGAAUGUGAUGCCGGAUAACAUGGGAUAUUGUUCAGGCAUAUUCGCAAAUUGUUGUGGAUAAUAUGGGACAGAGUAUACUUAUUGUGUACGACUAUGCGGGUAUCCAUAUACGUGAGAACAAAAGAUGUUUACAAAGUUCUUACAGAUAGAUUAACACGGGAAAUCUGAACACAAACCACUACCACACAGACAUUUGGAUUGGUCAAUAGUGGUUUCGCAGCGCGGUGUCACGAACACUAAUGCAAAUCUACUGGUUGAAAAUAUGCCCAUUUGAUUUUGAUGGGAACAGCUGAUCUUUGUUUACUAUUUUCAACCAGUAACUCAAGUGGUGUUCGUGUAAUGCAGCGUGUACGUACACGCAACACUACUAAAAGCAGAAACCACUAUGCAGUCGCCAUCCAGCCACGGAGAACGGACACACUAUUUUUAUUUCGCUGGAAACCAGCAAAAUUUUGCUGGUUUUUGACAUGCUGUGGAUCCAGCAAUCCAUCCAGCAAUAAUUACUUUGCUGGCUAUCCAGUAAUGCGAUUUUUAUGCUGGUUCACCAGUAAUUUUGUCCGCGCUCGAUUCCGGCCGGAUUUUUUGUUUUUUUUUUUCUUUUCGAAGAAAAAACAAAGUUCAAUUAUGAAUAUUAAACCCACCAAAUUUAGCUCCAAAGCAGCGCUACAAUGCUAGGAAUGUCCAUCGUGGACGUGGCGCAUUACAUUUGAUGCUGCCGAGUACCUUUUUGGGAGGAAUUUUCAUUGAUUCCUGUUAGCUCGCGUUGAUAUGAGGAGACGUGCAAAAGUAUUUUUGGAAAAUUGUAAGUGUUUGACAAGUGUUUGACUGAUUAUCCAGCAAUUUAAGUGUUUGCUGAUUUUUCAGUUACCAUUACUGAUUGUUCAGCAAAAUUUAAUUUGCUGAUAUGGUUCCAGCAAUACGUUUUGCUGGAUGAGAAAUUCAAAAUUUGGUGUGGACAUUCAAGACGUCCAGUUGUGAAUCUGUGUAAGGAAUUAAAAGCACCGACGAACCGACGUGACAGUGGUGAUUCAAAAGUGUCCCCCCCCCCCAAAUUUAACGGUCAAUCACAGAAGCGAGCGAUCGCUUCUGUCAAAUCAGCGCAGACGCGAACCGUUUCCUAUAUGAACACACGGGGGUUCGGUGUCGAGCUAUCAAAUCAUCGCGAGUCGUUAUAGAGGUGGCGAUAGUGUUCGGCUGUUUUUCAUCAUGGCGUCGCGGACAACAAAUUUGAAUUUAUUUGUUCUAGCUGUCACGUCGGUUCGUCGGUGU